AGAAGCUGAAAUCCUCAGAGAAGAUAUUGGAGUCUCCAAGCGAACAGUCACCAAAGCCUCUUGUGGAGCAGAUCACCAGUCUUCCAAAUAUCCAGAGGAAUUCCACCAGGCCGUCAGCCAGUUCUUUGGAGGUCACGUCCUCGGGAUCAUCCGUGCCAGUCUCUGGCACCAACCCUGACUUCGAGUACUGCAGCAAAGCGCUGCGAUCUGUGGUGCCCAAAUGCAUGUUUAAUCAAGACUGAAAUGAAAACAACACAGCGCUGCCAUGUGGAUUUGC